GGACUACUGGGGUUUCUAAUCCUGUUUGCUCCCCACGCUUUCGUAGUUGAGUGUCAGUACCUGUCCAGGUCGCCGCCUUCGCCUCUGGUGUUCCUCCCGAUCUCUACGCAUUUCACCGCUACACCGGGAAUUCCACGACCCUCUCCAGGACUCCAGUCUCACCGUUUCUGGGGCACUUCUUCAGUUAAGCCGAAGGAUUUCACCCCAGACAAAUAAGACCACCUACCUACCCUUUACGCCCAAUAAUUCCGAGCAACGCUUGCACCCUCUGUAUUACCGCGGCUGCUGGCAC
rnacentral:rRNA from 1 species